CCUACGGGAGGCAGCAGUUGGGAAUCUUGCACAAUGGGGGAAACCCUGAUGCAGCGACGCCGCGUGGACGAUGAAGGCCUUAGGGUUGUAAAGUCCUUUUUUGGGGAAAGACUUAGGACGGUACCCCAAGAAUAAGCUCCGGCUAACUACGUGCCAGCAGCCGCGGUAAGACGUAGGGAGCAAGCGUUGUCCGGAUUUACUGGGCGUAAAGAGCGCGUAGGCGGCUCGUUAAGUGUGAAGUGAAAUCUCCAGUGCUCAACACGGAAACUGCUUUACAUACUGGCGAGCUUGAGGAAAGCAGAGGCAACUGGAAUUCCUGGUGUAGCGGUGAAAUGCGUUGAUAUCAGGAGGAACACCCAUGGCGAAGGCAGGUUGCUGGGCUUUAUCUGACGCUGAGGCGCGAAAGCGUGGGUAGCAAACAGGAUUAGAUACCCUGGUAGUCCACGCCCUAAACGAUGGAUACUAGACGUAAGAGGUAUCGACCCCUCUUGUGUCGCAGCUAACGCAUUAAGUAUCCCGCCUGGGGACUACGGCCGCAAGGUUGAAACUCAAAUGAAUUGACGG
rnacentral:rRNA from 1 species